GUUCAAUUCCUGGUAACAGCAACAACUAAAGUGUGUCAGGAAAUAAGCAUCUAGCCAUUGUGUGGGCUAAGCUCUCCAUACUGGAGGCCAGUACAGAAUCUUUGCAUUUUGAGAAUAAGGAAGAAGGCAUUUUUUUUUUUUUUGCCCCCAUGAAGACACCAACUAAUUGCUAUUAAAGUUACCAGGUGGAUCUGAUAAAUUUCAGAUAAAUAUGUGAAUUCCUUAUAUAAGUGGCUAAGAGAUGAUAUCACAAUGAAACUAUUUACGUAUUAUUCUUACCUCAGAAGAUUACUAUACCUUUAGGCAGACUCACUCUGAGAAAGACAUUUGCAUGUUCUUUAAAUUUUUACUGAUGUUAGGAAGAGCACAUACCAGGGAAAAAGGAGAAAAUGGAGUGGGUGUUAUGAACCAGAAUAUAUCAUCUCAGUCUAACAUUUUUACACAACUCAUUUUGUUUUGUUUUUAAUACUCAGAACUGUGCCUGUCACAUAAUAGAUGUUCCACAUUCUUUUCCUCCCCCUGUUCCUCUUUGUUUUGACAAUAGUAGACAGAGAAAGGAUUUUAUACCCAUUAUUUCAGCACAGAUUUGUUCUUCCUGCUUACAAGGUGCUUCCUUCUGGGCUCAGAAUAUUCAUCUGAAGAAAAAUGAAAAAGUCUUUAACCUGUCUCCAUCUGGAGUAGGAUGUAAUAUGUUCAUUUGGUUCCAGUCCCUCACCACAUGAUAAGUCUGUGUCCAACUGAGUAUGUCGUAAAGUAUGCUGGUCUGGGAUCAAGCCAUAUCUCCUGCUUAAUUUUUCACUGUACCAUCUGUUCCUACCUCCCUUCUAAUGAGAAGUUUUGCUGUGUGCUUCUUCCGAAUUAUCAAGCACCUUUAUGAGAAUAAAGAAUUCCAUUAUAGCUCAGUGGUAGAGUGUUUGGCUAUUGUGUGUGAGGCCCUAGAUUUGAUCCCCAUCAUUAAAAAAGUGUGCGUGGAGGGGAAGCAAGCCAGCAAGCCAAGGAAUUCAAUUUACACCAUCUCCUACACACUAACAGAGCUCCCACUGGCCAUUUCUCCCAACUUUGUUCAGGACACUGGAAAUUAAAAUUUAUGAGUGGAAUACUUGGUACAUAUUGAGAACUAAA
rnacentral:lncRNA from 1 species